UACGGUAGGUGGCAAGCGUUGUCCGGAUUUACUGGGCGUAAAGAGCGCGCAGGCGGUCCGAUCAGUCGAAGUGUGAAAGCCCCCGGCUUAACUGGGGAGGGUCAUUCGAUACUGUCGGACUCGAAGGCAGGAGAGGGAAGCGGAAUUCCCGGUGUAGUGGUGAAAUGCGUAGAUAUCGGGAGGAAUACCAGUGGCGAAGGCGGCUGCCUGGCCUGUUCUUGACGCUGAGGCGCGAAAGCUGGGGGAGCAAACGGGG
rnacentral:rRNA from 1 species